rnacentral:tRNA from 1 species
GCCUUGAUGGCUCAGUUGGUUAGAGCGCAGGUCUCAUAAUCCUGAGGUCGUGAGUUCGACCCUCACUCGGGGCA